rnacentral:rRNA from 1 species
AACGAACGCUGGCGGCAUGCCUAACACAUGCAAGUCGAACGAGACCUUCGGGUCUAGUGGCGCACGGGCGCGUAACGCGUGGGAACCUGCCCUUAGGUUCGGAAUAACUCCCCGAAAGGGGUGCUAAUACCGGAUAAUGUCUUCGGACCAAAGAUUUAUCGCCUUUGGAUGGGCCCGCGUUGGAUUAGCUAGUUGGUAGGGUAAAAGCCUACCAAGGCGACGAUCCAUAGCUGGUCUGAGAGGAUGAUCAGCCACACUGGGACUGAGACACGGCCCAGACUCCUACGGGAGGGAGCAGUGGGGAAUAUUGGACAAUGGGCGAAAGCCUGAUCCAGCAAUGCCGCGUGAGUGAUGAAGGCCUUAGGGUUGUAAAGCUCUUUUACCCGGGAUGAUAAUGACAGUACCGGGAGAAUAAGCGCCGGCUAACUCCGUG